UGAGUGUCUAUUGAAAUGGUCCUGUCCAC
rnacentral:piRNA from 1 species